rnacentral:rRNA from 1 species
UCUGGGAUURWACCCCACUAUACUUUUUUAUUAAGCUUAUACACCAGAAUAAUAUGAUUUAAAAAGAUUAAAAUUCAAAGAACUUGGCGGUUUUCUAGAUCUUUUCGGAGGAGCCUGUCAUCAAAUUGAUAAUCCACAAGGGACCUCACCAUUUCUUGCUAUUACAGCUUGUAUACCAUCGUCUUUAGUUCACCUUAUAAGGGAGUGAACGAAUUUAGAGAAAAUUCAUUAUGUCAGAUCAAGGUGCAGCUAAUGAAAUGGGGAUAGAUGUGCUACUUUUUUUAUUUAACAUGAGGAUGUAAGAAUGAAAGUUCUUUCUGAAAAAGGAUUCGAUAGUAAUUAACUAAAGAUAAAGUUAAUGAAAUAAGCUCUAGACUGCGCACACACCGCCCGUCACCCUCCUMAA